AUUGGAUCGAACAGUGCUAAUGCUGUCCAUAAACAACCCAAAACAACACUCUGAGGAGUGUAAAUAAACCUGGAGCUCAUUAAUCCCAUCAACUGCUGCAAUAUUGUCAUUGAGAGACUGCUGUAUUUAGCAAUCCAGGUGAAGUCAUCUCAGUACUCCAGGAAUUUUGCCUGAGGCACAGCUACAAAUAUCCUGCACAAGAUUUACUACACAAUUAUACAGUACCAGGCUCUAAGAGGAAAAGUACUCCUGGUUACAAUAGGAUCAUUUAGGAUGGUGGAUGGAGCAGAAAUUUUGGAAGAGAUGGCAUGAAAUUCAUGUUCUCUCAAUGACAGUACUGUCUUAAGUUCCCUUGUGCAUCAAUGAAAGGAAUUUUUGGACAGAAAGAAUAGUCUACAAUGUUUUGAUUUGUUCAUAGGCAGAAGACACAGGUAGUAUCAAAACUUUCUGCACAUGCAGUUUAGAGGUUUCUAUACCAGUGCAUGUGGGACACUCAGGGUUUUCCCAGUUCCCAAGGACUGAACACUUUUUUUUCCGUAAUUACAGGAAAAAUUACUUGUGUUUUAAAAAAUCCCUCACUGAGAAUAAAAGAAUGCCUAAGUGCUCAGUGAGAUUGGAAGUUUGAAAUUCAGAAGGGCUUUAUGCAUUCUGCAGCUUUUCCCUGCCAAUGCUUGUGACUUGGGCUAAGGAAUUUCUAGCCUCAGAAAUGCAGAUGUCAUUUCCUUGUUUGCAGGAAAUUCAGGGCUUUUUCUUUAUCUUUUCUCUUUCAUUGCUUUAGACAUUACAGGAAGCUGGCACAAAGUGUGAUCACAAUAACAGGUAUAGAUUGUGUCAGGACAAAGAUCCACGCCAUUCACGACUCUGCCUUUUGGAAGUUGCCUGGGAAACAAAUGUUCCUGCCUAGGACAGAGGGAAGGAAGACCUCCUGUGACCUGCUGGGGACACUCUUCCUAAUGCAAGACGGAAUCUUCCUGAAUGAAGAUAGUGAUUGGACAUACCUUCCCUUUAGCUUUCUCUUCUCCAGACUAAUCAAAUGCAGUUACCUCAGCCUCUCUUAACAUAUCAUGCUCCCCAGUCCCUAAUAAUUUUAGUAGCCUUUUACUGGCCUCACCCUGUUUGCCAGUUUCCCUCUUGUUCUGGAGGGCCCAAGUGGGGAUACAAUAUUCCAGGUGUGUCUUCACAAAGGCUGAAUAGAGAGAAGUUACAUUUUCCCGUGGUGUCAUGGUUAAAGUGGUUUUUUUCUGGAGUAUUUACUGUCCAUUCCUGUAAACACAGUUCCCAAGAGUACCAGGACUCAAGAACAUAGCCCAUUUAACAAUCUUAUGGUCUUAAGUCAUUGUGGUCUCAUUUGCGGAAGUUUUGGUAACUCCUUGAAACAGCUGAAAUCAGGUGACUUACUUUGAACAAAGGAGAUUUUAUUUAUUGAGGUUUCCAAAAAAUGAUAUUAAAAUGAGCCCAGCUUAUUGCAAUAAUACCCACAGCUAGAAGAUAUAUUGUUAUUUUUAAAAUUAUUUGUGCCUUGUUUCUUUCUGAUCUUUCUGCUGGGUUGUGCUCAUGCCAGAGAUUGCUAAGAAGCCUGACUACAGUUUUUGAAACCCUCAGACAAUGAAACAAGCAACAUAGAAAAGCUCAUGAGGAAUAUAAUAACUGCCUUGAGAGAAAGGUUUGAAUACUGUAGUAAUACAUAGUAAGAAGACACUGCAAAAUAUGGAAAUUCUGUGUAUGAAGUAAAAACAAAUCAUGUCUUGUGCUGAAGUGGGAAGGGGUCCCCCGUGAAGAAAAUGUAACCUUGAAUUUAUUGUCUAUAUCAGAAUACAUAGCUAUCUUGAUAUUUUCUAUCCAUUGAACACUUCUCAGCCUUUAUAACAUUCUUUUAAGAAUAUUUUUUUCUUUUAACUUAAUAAUAAAAGAAGCUUGUUGAGCUAAAGAAUUAGGUUGUACCUAAAGGUCAACUAAUAUACACUAAUAAAACUGUGCAGAAUAUUAAAUACUCCUUUUUAUUUAUCAUCUGUUAUUCAUGGUAUUUCUCAGAACCUGCACUGAAUUAGUGAUAGUGAAAUAUCCUUGCAGGAUAGCUACUCAAAGGAGAAUAAAAUAUAUCAUGGUACAACUGGAGUUGGAAAAAAUCAACCAAAGGCUAGAGUAUUCUAAGUAUUUAAUGAAAUAUAAUUCUAAGUGAAAAAUCUGAGUUGUCAGUACUGCUACUAAGCUGUUCUUUUGGGCUCUGAAUGUGCCUGAAAUCUCAGGUGAAAACAUAAUUGCCUCAGGUCUGUCUCAACGCACACAGAAGCACUACUGUUCAGCUGGUGUUGGCUGUGGCUUGACAUCCAGCUUAUGCACACCCUUAAAGGGCUGUGGAAACCAGCUACUUCCCCGAGCCAUGUGUUUAGCUCUGGCUGGUGUUUCCUAUCUACCCAAAGACACCACAAAGGGAGACACACUGGGAAAACACAAGAUGCCUUACAGUCCCCUUUUGCCCAGGAGUCUAUUUUGCCAAGAACUGUUACUCAUGACAGAGAGAGAAGUUCUAGACCCUUCCCUCCCUAUCCAGCUCCUCUGUGGACUGGACAUUCAACUCCUACGCCUAAAAAAUUGUUAGUUGGAGCAGGAACUACAACUGUAUGUUCUCAGAUUAGUUCGAUGCUACCAGCCAAUAGCACAUCCUGGGGUGUGGGGCUGGUCUCGGAUCCACAGCUGUGCUUUAUGCAUGAAAGAAGUACAGGCCAGACAGGAGAAAAUAAGCCCAAAUACUAUGGACUAGCUACUCUAUUCAUGAAAUGGAUAGAUCUUUUAAAGUAAAUUGCUCAGAUACCAGGUUCCUGCCUGUCUGUACUCUGUCUGAACACGUGAAACCAGACUUAAGUCCCUAUUUACUAAUACCUUAUUCUGCUACUUCAGUGUAGUAAACACUGAGGAGUAACACCAUAAUAAACUUCAGAAUUUUAAUAUUUAUUAGUCUGAAACAAUUAGAACAUGAGAGAUGUCUCAUUAAUUUUUGGUUUCCUCAGUCGUUUAAGGCAAAACUAGGUGGCAUGAUACCUUUGGAUGUUAUCUUGUCCUUCUCCUUCCCCAGGGUUUCUCAUGCCUUUAUUAUUCUUGACUGGUGUUUUUCUAACCUAUUAUUCUUAAAAACUUUCAGAACUGUCUAUCUCAUUACCCCUCCAAGCCUACUCCUAUGCUUUAUUUUCUAUCCUAUGAGAUUUUCCUCAUAAUGCUUCAAUUUAAGCUCCUUACUUCAUACCAUAUCCACUCAAAGGCAUGAGGAACUGAUCACUAUUUUGGUUGUUAUGAUUUGACAUAUGGUCUCUAAGUUCUUUUGCUCUAGACUAAGCAACUGGAAAUUAUCUGGUCUUUCUCUACAAGAUCCAUUUUAUUACUUUGAACUCUCUACACUUGAUCCACUUUUUUUUCUUUUGAGCAUAUUUAUUAUUGCUGGAGACACUACUCAUUAGAGGCUGAGGCAAGAAAAACACCCAGAGAACAGCCUGCUGUAUUUGGUAGAUUAUAUUCUUGUGUGUACAUAUAUGGAUCAGUACGUGUGUGUGUGUGUGCAUAUUCUAGCAGAGCGCUUGUCUUUUUUCCUAACAGCAUGACUAGAUUCAUUAAUAUUCAACUUAGAAUCAAACCUUCCUUUCAGACUUAAAUACUUUUCUUCAGAACUACUAACCAGCCCUCUGCACAUCCAGCCUACCUAUCUACGCUAUAACAUCUUUCACGUGUCUUUAUUGACUGUGUGCUAUUUCUUAAGUUCACACAAUCAUCCUAAAUUCUAACCCUGUUUUUCCCUGAUCUUUCAUCCCCCACCUCCAGUUAGAUGCCAUCUGAAAAAUUCAUAGGUAUAUUCUGCUGUAAAAGUCCUUAACAGAAACAUUGAGUAGUAGCCAUCUCAAGAGAGGCCUCUUCAAAAUUCGACUGGCACCUCUUCCAUUUUGACACCAACCAUUAAUAAAUACUUUUAGUGGUUACCAAAUGCUCAAGAUUUAUACUCUUUCAUAAAAAUCUCUGUCUGACAGUUUUUUCUCCUAACUUGUUUUCAAGAAUAUCAUAUAAAAGUGUCAAACCUUUCUAAAAUGAGGAUAUGACCUAUACUGCUCCUGCUUCUUUUCUCUCAUGGAACACUUAAAUCAAAUUUACAAACUCUAAACUGGCUGCCCUUAUCAUCAUCCAGGUGUCUGUAAAUUAACAUUUGAGUAUUUAUUACUGUAUUUUUUUCCUGAAACUUCAUCCUUGCUAGUGUCUAACUCCCAGCAUUUCCUUUAUUCUUUCUUUAAAAUUUGCAAUAUGUUUGCCAGUUUGCAGUCUUUUGGACCACAUCUGUUCUCCAUGAACUCUGAAAAUCGUUGGUGGUUUUUGUUUGAGAUUGUUUUGGUCAGUUCUCUAAAUGCUUUACAAUGAGGCUCAUCAGUCUUAGUCAAUUUUGAAGUCUAUACCUUAGGUAGAAUCAGAGGUGUGCAAGGAAAAGACAAGAGACAACAGGUCCUUAGACAUAAGGAAAAAAAUUCACAGCAAGAGUUCCCGCAAGGACUUGAACAGGUUUCUCAGUGAGGUUGUGGAGUUUCUAUCUCGAUAACCUGGGAAAAUGUUGAAGCUGGCCCUGUUUUGAAAGGGGUUGGGACUAGAUCACCAUAGAGGUCUCUGCAGUGUACAUGAUUCUAGUACUCUGUAUUGAUUUUAUCACUCCCUUUUUCCUCUGAAGUUCAAGGUUAGACUGAUUUUUGUCUCUGAUGAGUGGACAUGAUCAAGCCAGAUAAUCAUAACAAAAUAAUGGUUUAGUAACAACUGAACUCUCAUCAUUUUCUCUCAUCCUCCCUUCUACUCAAUGACAGCACCAGUACCCAGUCCCUUGGUGUCAUUUGUCAUUGCUCAUCAGCUGGGUUCCCAGCUGUUCUGGGAAUAAAAUAAGUAGGUCAUGUGAAUGACAAAUAUUUGUAAAUUGCAUCAGCGUGGUUAUAAGAUGGUGUUUCAUGUUUCUAAGACUUGCUCUUAGAAAUUGCUUUUAUUGUUUUUCAUACCCAUCUCAUGCUUCUUUUAAUUAGUUUCCAGUAAAAUGUUAUCAUGUAUGGCAAGGAAAAGGCUUUUGUGUGUGUGUGUGUUUAAUGUCUUAGUGUGCUUUAUCAUAGACCUAGGCAAACAAUAAUUAGUAUUACUCAAUUAAACAGAUAAGCCAAAGGACUCUCCUUCAUCUGUAUAAGGUCAUCCAUCUAAAAGCACAUUUUCCUUUAGGAGAUGUGCUGGGAGGUCAGCCCACACUGUGCCAUGAAGGGAUUCAUCACUUACACUCUAAGUAAAACCAAAUUAUUACUUUCUCCUUUUUGGUGCACUUAGUCAUGGCACAAAGAAGGCCUGUUAACUGCUGAGUUUCACACCUAUUUAAGAGUCUUAAAGCUUAACUGGGAUUACAGUAUUUUCUGCCACUUUGAUUUCUUUGAGCUGGUCUCCGCAUUUUUGCUGCAGUCAUUUCCUAGGAAAGAACACAUGUUUUUGUUCAUCUCUCCACUUGAGCCCUUACCUUUCCAUGUACAAAGCCUGCAGCUGGUCUGCCUGCCAGAUAGCUCUUCCUUCUGUGAGAGCUGCUGUGUGCCUUGCUGUAAAUAUAACCAGCAUGGCCAGCAUGAUCAUUGCUUUAUAAACCAUUUGGCACAGCCCUCGGGGUACUGCACGUGUCCUUUAUGAUACUAAGCACACAGAGGAAGCUACAAAAUAAUGUAUCUGAUUAUUUAUUCUGGAAAGUAAUUUCUGCUGAAUGAGAGAACAGCAAUGACUAAUAUGUUGUGCCAGCUCUUGGCAGACUGACCAGCCCAGCAAACUGACCAGCCUGCAAAAUCCCUUUGUUUGUCAUCAUCCACCAAGCAGAGAUGCCUUUCAAAACCUCUUUUUGAGCUCUUUAUAAGUCCAUCUAUUUUCAUUCUCCCUUUAUAUUUUCUCCCUUAACAUCUUUCUUUAUUUGCCAAGAGCAAAACCAUUUUUUUCCCAGCUGUACCUCUAUCAAAAUGGGAAGUUAGAGUGUACUAUUUUGGGGUGGAAUGUUGACACCUCUUUUUCUCCACUGAGUCUUAAGAUUUAUUUUUAUUUUGUUAAUAAAUCCAGAGUGUUUACAUAUCUGAGAAUUUGACUGACGUUAUACAUUAACAUGAAAGGACUUAACUUUCUGAUUUACAACACUUUUCACUUGCUUCUCUAGAAUAUGGUAAUUCAAGUUUUGAUACAAACAUUGUUUAUGAUUGUAUAUAUUGUACUUGCUAUGAAGCAUAUUAGCUUGUAAAUCCUUGUAAGCAGCUAGCUUGUCUAAUGUCUUAUCAGCAGUUCACUCGAGUGAUUCACAUCCGUUCAAAUGUCUGACUUCUUUUUUUUCAAAUUGUUAGGCUUCCUGAAUCAUUAUCAUAUUCUUUUCAGCAUUCCUACACUCUGCCAUGCUUGAAGAAUGACACUUUGCUAUACGAACAUGACUGACAAUUGUUUCAGUGAAAGCAAGUUUAAAAAAACUCUAAUACCUUAAAAAAGGAACUCCUUUUAGAAGUUAACCUUGUGCAGGUAUUUCUGAGUUAGAUCACACAUAUAUUUCCUAACUUAUUAUCCUAGUUCAAACUUCUCAAACUCCCUUUUACUCUUUUCAUGAAACAGAUAGUAACAAUUUCACAGAAUAAAUAAACUUUCUAUCUCUA